CAUAGCAGAGCAGAGUGCGAGAAACAUGUGCCUGAGGGUCUUGCUGAGGGUCUUGCUGAGUGGAAGAAUGUGCAAUAUCUCUGCAGCCAGCAGUUGGAUGGGAACAGUUGCAGUAUAUUCACAUGCAUGAAUGCUGAAUGCCUUGUAAAAGAUGUUUGCCCGACAGUCAUGCGCCAGCACCACGUUCCAUACUAUCGGGAGUAUGUGAUGAAGACACUGCUAGCUGCCAGGAACACAGACAACUGCGACUCCAAACUGUGUUUGCGUCCACAACUAAAAUGCUUGGAAUGGAAGGGUUGUGAUGGAUGUUUGAUGUGGGAGCAUUCUGUUUGCACGAUAAUAACAGACAAGCACCCGUACUGUGGACUUUGUUUGCCAUUGCACUACAAAAACUAAACAUUCUCAUUUCUUGAAUUUGCACUUUGAAUUCUUAUUGCUAUUUUCCUAUAGUCAUAUUAAGUUUUAAUUUGAAUGCAUACACAAUUACUUGAAGAUUUAUGUAAGAAAUGUACAAAAUUAUUUAUUAUAUUCAUAUAUUUAUCAUAUAAUAGCUAGCACAUCUAGUGUAAUCAAAGUAUGUGAUAUUUUUCAAACUAGAUUAAUUGAGGUCAUGGCAAAUGUUCUACGGUGACACUGCAUGCAUAAUUGUGACACUCCAUAAUUGAUGUGUGCAUUCAAAUAAAAACAUUUCAAUAGCAAUUUCACAUUCAGCACUACUAGUGUAGGGACAUCCAAAAUGACGUCAUUUGAAUCAGAAUCACAUUCUUACAUCAUUUGAAUAUCUAGUAAUGGCAGACUGGAAUUAAAGUUGCGUAUACAGUUUACAAAAAUAUGUUGCAUUAAGCUUGAGAUUAUAUGAUAAAGAGAUUAUGACCCUCGUGUGUUUCAAUAUCUUCAGUAUCAUAUAUUAGGAAUAAAAAUAUCAUACUGUGAAAUCUUUACUAGAUUAAUGGUUCUCACUUUAUGUCCAAAAUCUGGAAUAAAUAUAAUUCUCUGAGUACUGUGCAUGAUAAAUAAAAUGACUGCCUUAAGAUAUCGGCUUUAUUAUGCUCAGGUUGAAUGGCAAAUGCUGUUCUUUGCAGGAUAAAGUCGAUAUCUUAAGACAGUAACCAGUUAUUCUCCCUCCAUCUAAUGACCACCCUGGCCAUCACACUGUAAAGACACUAAAUAGAUUGGAAUAGUUCCUUAUUAUUUUUUAAUAAAAAUAGUCAGGUACUUAAGACCUCCACUAUUGCAGAUUAUGACCAGAAUAGUCGGACACAAAUGGUUAUUUUUAAUACAUUUUUUCUCCACCGAUACAAUUACAACAUGACCUAUUUUUAUCCCGUCUCACAUGUGAUAACCCAUAAUGGUAUGUCUCAUAAUAAAGGGUGACUAUUGUUCACUGCAGAAUUGUCAAGACAUUCAGUCAGAUAUGGCAAAUAAGCACAAAUUUCCUUCAUUUGUAUCAGUGUUUGAAGUACAAGAAUGAUCAUGAGUGGACAAAUUGAAUGGGACCCUGGGGGUUAUACACAAGAAGAUCCAUAAACAGUUUAGUGUUGGUUGUACUAUUGGUAGAUGUAGUUUGUUAAAGUUAGUUUGUUUUUUAUUUAUUUAAUUCAACCAAACUGGAUGUCGUAAUUGUGACAUAUAGUCUGAGACAUCAGAUUCAAUAAAAACUACCAAGCCACUGUGCAUACAGUUGCUACAUCCAUUCUUUUAAUCAACAUAAUUAUGACCACAGAAAUUAAUACAUGUACACUCAUAUCUCACCAGUGGCAGACAGCAGUAUUCAGUGCUCAAUUUAUGGUUUUGGCACUUUAAAUAUUGACCUUGUGAAAUGCUUUUGUAUAUACAUGUAGUACUGUAUAUGUGUAAGACGCUUUUGUACUUGAUAUUGUUCACAGAGAACGUCUUUAUUUAUACCUGAUGUUUUAGUAUUUCUAUCAUUAUCCUGAUUUCUGGAAUGCCACUAUGGUUUGCAAUCAACCUAUUGGUAGCUAUUUUUAAAAUUCCACUAAAAAACACAAAACAUACUAUUAGAUUCAAACCACAAUUCUUUUUACCUGUGUUUAUUAAAAUAACUAAUAAGAGAAGUAUGUUGCCAUUAGUAAAUAUCAUUUACAGUAUAAUUCAAUGUUAUUACACAAUUAUGUAUUUUGUACUGUCCACUAAAUUACGAUGUUGUCCACCGUUACUAAAUGUCCAAAAUUUGCAUUUAUAGCCAAUAUUCCAGGACUAUACUUUAAAUAGAUUACACCAUUAUGUGGUAUACACAAUAAUGUAAGAGAUAUAUCAAUGCAGUGAAACCCCUCUAAACCAGACACCAAUGGAAACAAGUAAAACGUAAGGUGUAUCUAGUAAAGAUGAGUUCUAUUCUGUACUGAUAUCUAAAAUGGUACCAUGAAAAAUUUCUGGUUUACAGAGGGGUCCAGUUUUGAGGGGUUUGACUGUAGUAACAUGCUAGCAUUAACCCCGACAAAAUUACAUUUCUACCUAUUUGCUAUAGUUGAAGGUAACUUAGCAGACAGUAGCAUAUAGUAAAUAUUUCCCAUCAUAUGACCUUGUCAUUCUGACCUACAUGUAUUAUCAUGCAGGCUUUUGUAGAUUUUUGAUAUACUUGAUCUACUUUGUGAUAGAAUGGUUAAACCCAUUCAGUAUAUUGGUAGUUUAUUGCAUGGGUAACUUGGUGGACAGAAUAAAGAAUUAGAAAAAGUA
rnacentral:lncRNA from 1 species